rnacentral:rRNA from 1 species
AUGGAAGGCUUGGUCGGCUUGAUCAUUCCACUCGAAGUGAGUGGACUUCUUCAUGAGUCGGUACAGGGGAGGGCCUUCUCUCCUGGUCGGCUGAUAAAACGGUUCAGGGAGGCUAAGCAGCCAGUGAACUUCUGCACAUCUCGCAGCUUGGUGGGAAUCUCCAUCCUCUCGAUGGCUUUGAUCUUGACAGGGUUGCACUCAAUGCCGCGUUCGGAGACCAGGAAGCCUAGCAGCUGGCUGGCUGGUACUCCGAACACGCACUUCUCGGGGUUGAGCUUGAUCUGGAAUCGGCGCAAGUUGGCAAACGUUUCCUUCAGGUCUUCCAGCAAGGUACCGCGCUUCUCUGUCUUCACCACAAUGUCGUCUACGUAG